AAGAUCAUGAUGAGGGCAACACAUAAUUAGACCCUUGUAUCUCUCCCAAGCCUUAUACAACGAUUCUGCAUCUAGAUGCAUGAACGAUGUGAUAUCCUUCCUCAUCUU
rnacentral:snoRNA from 1 species